rnacentral:lncRNA from 1 species
CAGAGCUCCCCUGGACGCCAUGACAGUGCCUGGGCUGUCCAGCUGGAUGGUCCCUUGAUCUGUAUGCUUUAGAAUGGCCUGGCUAUACUGCCUGGCGAUAAGCCAGAAGCAGCCACGCUUCCUCUGUGGUGCCUUGCCAUCGACUCUUGGGACCUGUAGACCCUGGUGGCCACAUGUCCUGUCCUCAUGGACUUGGAAAGGCCUCUCGCUCUCCAGACAGCCUUCUAUAACCAUCAACUCCUAGUUGUAAAGACCUCUUGCCCUGGAGAUAGUUAACAAACCAAAUCCCCUGCCAUAAUUCCACUCAAUUGUAUCUUAUUUUAAC